GGAUGGGUUUGGAUUGAUGGCAGGCCCGACCCCAUGGGCUUCUCAGAGUGUCCCAUGCCAGAGCGAACUGUAACCCCAAACUAUUACCUGGCUUUGUCCCACGGGCAUCGGGCACUGAAGUGGGUUGCACAGUG
ensembl:snoRNA